rnacentral:rRNA from 1 species
UACGUAGGGUGCAAGCGUUAAUCGGAAUUACUGGACGUAAAGCGUGCGCAGGCGGUGAUGUAAGACAGAUGUGAAAUCCCCGGGCUCAACCUGGGAACUGCAUUUGUGACUGCAUUGCUGGAGUGCGGCAGAGGGGGAUGGAAUUCCGCGUGUAGCAGUGAAAUGCGUAGAUAUGUGGAGGAACACCGAUGGCGAAGGCAGCCCCCUGGGCUAACACUGACGCUCAUGCACGAAAGCGUGGGGAGCAAACAGG